AUCAUGGUCGUGGGGCUUCUGGACAGGGUACGAUUCCGGACGGCCCCACAAAACGC
rnacentral:sRNA from 1 species